UACGUAGGGUCCGAGCGUUGUCCGGAAUUAUUGGGCGUAAAGAGCUCGUAGGCGGUUUGUCGCGUCUGCUGUGAAAUCCCGAGGCUCAACCUCGGGUCUGCAGUGGGUACGGGCAGACUGGAGUGCGGUAGGGGAGAAUGGAAUUCCUGGUGUAGCGGUGGAAUGCGCAGAUAUCAGGAGGAACACCGGUGGCGAAGGCGGGUCUCUGGGCCGUAACUGACGCUGGAGGAGCGAAAGCUGGGGAGCGAACAG
rnacentral:rRNA from 1 species